AGGUUCUUCUGUGAUAUGUUUUCAUGGUGUGGGAAUAAGACUUGGUGGUCUAAUACAGCUAAUAUGAAGGUUAGCAUCACAGCUUGUCUGUAAAGAUUGAAGCUGGGAGUGGGCAUUGGAGCUGACUUUUAUGGUAACUGUGGCUGCAUAAAAGGGCUAUGUGAUUUUACUGUAAAGUAAAGAAUGUAAUUCAGACUAUUUUUGUGUAUGUUUGAGAAAAUGUUUAUAAUUUUUACAAAAAGAAAAAAAAAAUUAUGUACAGGUUCUCCAUUUUCAACAAGAUUGGAAGUUGUAGGUUAAUAGGUCUUUGAAAUUUCAAAAAUUACUUUCUAUUUUCUGUUCAUACUCAUGUCUAGGCAAAACACUUCCAGUAGUUUAAGAAUGGAGAAUCUAAAAAAAAAAGAAAAGAAAAAAAAAAAAAAAAAAUGUUCAAUUAUUGAAAUGUUUUUUAUUUUUGCAAAUUGUAAUGUUUUUUCACCUUUGUGUCAUUUUUAGCUGAGUUUAUAACGAAGGGUAUAUUAUUUUAAGAAUAUUUUACAAGAAGCAUAGUUGAAGAAUAUCUUGAUGAAAGUAGAUUGAUUGAUUUUUGGUAUUUAACACCACUUUCAGCAUGAUUUGCUAUAUCUGGGCUGCCAGUUUUUAUUUGUGGAGUCAGCCUGGUGAAAACAUCCCCUUCAACAGAGAAACUGGCAACGCUAGUCAAUUAAGAUUGAUGUUAAACACACCUACAAUGUGAGGGUUCAGAGUGUUG